rnacentral:rRNA from 1 species
UACGUAGGUGGCAAGCGUUGUCCGGAUUUACUGGGCGUAAAGGGCGCGUAGGCGGUCAGCACAAGUCAGUUGUGAAAUCUCCGAGCUUAACUCGGAAAGGUCAACUGAUACUGUGCGGCUAGAGUGCGGAAGGGGCAACUGGAAUUCUUGGUGUAGCGGUGAAAUGCGUAGAUAUCAAGAGGAACACCUGCGGCGAAGGCGGGUUGCUGGGCCGACACUGACGCUGGAGGCGCGAAAGCCAGGGGAGCGAACGGG